rnacentral:rRNA from 1 species
UACAGAGGGGGCAAGCGUUGUUCGGAAUUACUGGGCGUAAAGGGCGCGUAGGCGGCCUGCUAAGUCGAACGUGAAAUCCCCGGGCUUAACCCGGGAACUGCGUCCGAUACUGGUGGACUUGAAUCCGGGAGAGGGAUGUGGAAUUCCAGGUGUAGCGGUGAAAUGCGUAGAGAUCGGGAGGAACACCCAGUGGGCGAAGGCGGCUACCUGGACCAGCACUGACACUGAGGCACGAAAGCGUGGGGAGCGAACAGG